GAUUCAUCACUGCUACGGAUGCUAUCCUUAAUACAUAUUUACUUUUAGUUUCAGCCCACUUGAAGUUUUGUGCCAGCCUUCUUACCUAAUUAAACAGCACUUCAGCAGCGUGGUUGCUAAUGCCAGAAACCAAAAAACAGUAAACAUGAGUCAAGAUGAAUUAAAAGAUAAGCCAAUUUUUAAGGCCGAGCGCAGUGGCUCACACCUGUAAUCCCAGCACUUUGGGAGGCCAAGGUGGACGGAUCACUUGAGGCCAGGAGUUCGAGACCAGCAUGGCCAACAUGGUGAAACCCCAUCUCUACUAAAAAUACAAAAAUCAGCUGGGUGUGGUGGCGCAUGCCUGUAGUACCAGUUACUCCAGAGACUGAGGCAGGAGAAUUGCUUGAACCUAUGAGGCAGUGAGACAAGAUCACACCACUGCUCUCCAACCUGGGCAACAGAGUGAGGCUCUUGUCUCAAAAAAUAAAUUAAAAAGCCAUUUUUAUAUUCAUUAAAGUAGAGUUAGGAACAACCAAAAUUGCCAAGGAUAAUUAGGGACAUUAUAUAAUGAUAAAAUUCACCAAGACAGUGCUAAAAGUGUAAGCACUUAUUAUCAGAUCUUAAAAAUACAUGAAGAGACCAGGUGCAGAGACUCAUUCAUUCCUGUAAUUCCAAUGCUUUGGGAAGCCAAGGUGGGAGGAUUGCUUGAGGCCAAGAGUUCAAGACCAGCCUACUCAACAUAGGGAGACCCUAUCUCUACAAAAAAUUAAAAAUUAGCUAGGCAUAGUGAUAUACAUCUGUAGUCCUAGGUACUGAGGAGCCUGAGGUGGGAAG
rnacentral:lncRNA from 1 species